UCGAGUUUUUCGGGUUUUCAA
rnacentral:siRNA from 1 species